rnacentral:rRNA from 1 species
AAUGGACGCAAGUCUGACCCAGCCAUGCCGCGUGCAGGAUGAAGGCCCUAUGGGUUGUAAACUGCUUUUCUACGGGAAGAAACUCCCCGACGUGUCGGGGACCGACGGUAUCGUAGGAAUAAGGAUCGGCUAACUCCGUGCCAGCAGCCGCGGUAAUACGGAGGAUCCAAGCGUUGUCCGGAUUUAUUGGGUUUAAAGGGUGCGUAGGCGGAUAAUUAAGUCAGUGGUGAAAGCCUUCAGCUUAACUGAAGAAUUGCCAUUGAAACUGAUUAUCUUGAAUGCGGUUGAGGCAGAUGGAAUGUAUCAUGUAGCGGUGAAAUGCUUAGAUAUGAUACAGAACACCGAUUGCGAAGGCAGUCUGCUAAGCCGUGAUUGACGCUGAGGCACGAAAGCGUGGGUAGCAAA